rnacentral:tRNA from 1 species
GGCUAGGUGGCUGAGUGGUUUUAGCGAAAAAUUGCAAAUUUUUUGACAUUGGUUCGAAUCCAAUCCUAGCUU